GGCGGCGUGCUUACACAUGCAAGNNNNNCGAUGAAACCUAGCUUGCUAGGUGGAUUAGUGGCGCACGGGUGAGUAAUGGAUAGGUUACCUGCCUCAUAGUCCGGNACAACAAUUGGAAACGAUUGCUAAUACCGGAUAUUCCCUACGGGGGAAAGAUUUAUCGCUAUGAGAUGGGCCUAUCUCCUAUCAGCUAUUUGGUAAGGUAAUGGCUUACCAAGGCUAUGACGGGUAGCUGGUCUUAGAGGACGAUCAGCCACACUGGAACUGAGACACGGUCCAGACUCCUACGGGAGGCAGCAGUGGGGAAUAUUGCACAAUGGGGGAAACCCUGAUGCAGCAACGCCGCGUGGAGGAUGACGCAUUUCGGUGUGUAAACUCCUUUUAUUAAGGAAGAAAUUUGACGGUACUUAAUGAAUAAGCACCGGGCUAACUCCGUGCCAGCAGCCGCGGUAAUACGGAGGGGGCAAGCGUUACUCGGAAUUACUGGGCGUAAAAGGACNCGUAGGCGGUUUGAUAAGUUANAUG
rnacentral:rRNA from 1 species